GCCAGGUAUGGUGACGCAUCCCUGUAAUCCCAGAGACUAAGGAGGCUGAGGCAGGAGAAUUCCAAGUUUGAGGCCAGCCUCAGCAACUUGGCGAGACCCUGUUUCUA
rnacentral:sRNA from 1 species